AGUGAACGCUGGCGGUAGGCCUAACACAUGCAAGUCGAACGGCAGCACAGUAAGCUCUUUCUCUUACGGGUGGCGAGUGGCGGACGGGUGAGGAAUACAUCGCAAUCUACUUUUUCGUGGGUGAUAACGUAGGGAAACUUACGCUAAUACCUCAUACGACCUACGGGUGAAAGCAGUGGAUCUUCGGACCUUGCGCGAUUGAAUGAGCCGAUGUCGGAUUAGCUAGUUGGCGGGGUAAAGGCCCACCAAGGCGACGAUCCGUAGCUGGUCUGAGAGGAUGAUCAGCCACACUGGAACUGAGACACGGUCCAGACUCCUACGGGAGGCAGCAGUGGGGAAUAUUGGACAAUGGGCGCAAGCCUGAUCCAGCAAUACCGCGUGGGUGAAGAAGGCCUUCGGGUUGUAAAGCCCUUUUGUUGGGAAAGAAAAGAAGCAGGUUAAAACCCCGAUGUUCUGACGGUACCCAAAGAAUAAGCACCGGCUAACUUCGUG
rnacentral:rRNA from 1 species